rnacentral:sRNA from 1 species
GCCAGGCAUGGUGGUGCAUACCUGUAAUCCCAGCUACUUGGGAAGCUAAAGUGGGAGGAUGGCAAGUUCAAGGCCAGCCUGGGCAAUUUAGUGAGACCCCAUCUUAA